GCCUGGCUGGCUCAGUUGGAGGAACAUGUGACUCUUGAUCUUGGGGUCAUGGGUUCAGGCCCCAUGCUGGGCG
rnacentral:tRNA from 1 species